AAAAGUCGUAACAAGGUCUCCGUUGGUGAACCAGCGGAGGGAUCAUUAAAGAGUUGCAAAACUCCCUUAAACCAUCGUGAACACACCUCUGAACAGUUGCUUCGGCAGGCCGGCCUCCUCCCGGGGGUCGACUAAGGCCUGCCGGAGGUACCCAAACCAUUGUUUUUGCAGGCCUCUCUGAGUUUAUUACUUAAUAAGUCAAAACUUUCAACAACGGAUCUCUUGGCUCUG
rnacentral:misc_RNA from 1 species